AACGAACGCUGGCGGCAGGCUUAACACAUGCAAGUCGAGCGCCCCGCAAGGGGAGCGGCAGACGGGUGAGUAACGCGUGGGAAUCUACCCAUCACUACGGAACAACUCCGGGAAACUGGAGCUAAUACCGUAUACGUCCUUCGGGAGAAAGAUUUAUCGGUGAUGGAUGAGCCCGCGUUGGAUUAGCUAGUUGGUGGGGUAAUGGCCCACCAAGGCGACGAUCCAUAGCUGGUCUGAGAGGAUGAUCAGCCACACUGGGACUGAGACACGGCCCAGACUCCUACGGGAGGCAGCAGUGGGGAAUAUUGGACAAUGGCGCAAGCCUGAUCCAACCAUGCCGCGUGAGUGAUGAAGGCCCUAGGGUUGUAAAGCUCUUUCACCGGUGAAGAUAAUGACGGUAACCGGGGAAGAAGCCCCGGCUAACUUCGUGCCAGCAGCCGCAGUAA
rnacentral:rRNA from 1 species